CUUAAAACUAUCCAGACUUUGAUGAAGAAACUGCAAACAUUGGAUCAAGCAGUUGUGGGGCUAUCAGAUACAAGAAUACCCUACUUGGAUUGUGUUUGAACGAGGAAAAGUCUUGACUGAGAAUAUCUCAUCAAGCUUCCAGAUACAGCGGCUCUGAUGAAAAAGGAUACAGUUGAGGCGAUAUCACCAUAGAUGUGCUCCAUAAAAAAAAACCUCAUCUGGGAGGGUAGGAAUUAUGGCAUAUGCUAAAAACAUUUKAAAUCCAAUCUCUUCAUAUUAUGCAAUCAUUAUGCUGUAGAGCCUGGACUUAUGUGUCUUCAAAGUUACAGUCUUGCUCUGUACAGUGCUGUGCCGUUCCUGCAGAGGCCCUGUAUGCUCCAUUUGCUAUAGGAGAAGCUACAUCUCUGAAAUAGUGAUUACAGCAAUAUCGGCAUGCUCUCCGUUUCAGCAAGAGGAUAUAUUCCUAUCACUGCCACUUCACUCUGCCCUCCC